AAACCACACUGUUCCUCCUGAAGCCGAGGUUCGACUAUCGGUCAGACUCUCCUCUCCAAUACCCUGGCGUAGGCCUUACCAGGGAGGCUGAGGAGUGUGAUCCCCCGAUAAUUGGAACACCACCCCAGUCUUUCAGUUUGAAUUUUCGUCGAAACUCCAUUUCAAAAUGCUGUGCAGAAAUAUUUAUGAUGCAAUAUGCACGGCUGCGGCGGAAUACUUCUAAUCUGUGGAAGCACCUGCAGUGUUUCACCUACCACUAUUCAAGGGGGGCACCCCGCCCUACCAACCAGACCGCCGUGCCCCCAAGAGGAUCACAGCAUGUAGUAAUAGUUUAACAGUUAAUGUCAUUCGUUUUAUUGGAUCACGUCGUGAAGGAUUUCUGUCCCUGUGUUGUCACUACUCUUCUUUCUAUGGCCAAACAUGGCAAAAGCUGGACGAAAACACACUCAUCAUACUCUGUGUCACCAACGGUGACACUGACACACUGAGUUAGGUGCACUCGAACGGAGGUGAACACAUGCUCCUGACAGCGGACAGAAAGCCAUGCCGCUAAAACCUAGAAAGCACGCAAGGAUAUCUGUGGUUUUAAAAAGCGGCAAAUUUAGUUUUGAUGGCAGCACUUCAUCUCCUGCGAGCUAACUCUCCUACUCUUGGUACAUUUGGCGAAGAUAGAAGUAAACAAAAUAGACCAAGUGAUUCAUGCCCUGACUCUGACACACAGCUAAAGUCCAGUCUCCACCAAAUAAAAGUUUUUUACCUAGUUUCAAACCAUUAAAAUGAAUUUAAUGGUUUGAAACUGAAUUCCUUGGCUUUUAAACUGAAUUUGUUUGCUUUGAAAAUUGCUUUGCUAUGUAUUGAAAAUUCCAUUUGAUAACUUUCAUUUUCUAUUCCAAAAUUCAAUUCCAGUUCCAAAAUUCCGUUUUUUGUGUCACACAUCAAAGUCCUUGAAACCACAGAUUAAUUAAACACAGAAUUACUGAUUCACGGAUGUCAUUCACUAUUGCUGUGUUCAAAUUCAGAUGCGACUUUUAUGGCCAUACAGUGAAGUAAAAACGAAUGCUGUCAGAGAGGUGCUGAUUAUAUUGGUUCAGACACUUUUGGUUUGUUUUACAAGCCCUGCUACUGCAACACAUUGAGGGGCAGAGAAGAAAGAGUGCUUGGAGACCAGCUGCUUUACACCAGCUCUCGCCUCCGUAGUGGGAUCCUAUUCACGUGAUAGAAGAUACACUCUGCCUAGGGAUUUUGUCUUUAACUGUCUCUUUCAAGGAUAAUGCCAGUGAGCUAUUGCUGCAGGUAUUUACUCUUAAUUUUCUUAUCCCAUUGAUACUACUACUGGCUCAGUGCUUUCUUGUUUUAUUGUGUUUCUUAGAUGGAACUACUAAUGGUAUUAGUGAUGUCACUAACGGUGUGUGCUGUAUUCUUUCCCAAAUAAACUACUCCUGGACUGGUG